UACGUAGGUGGCGAGCGUUAUCCGGAUUUACUGGGUGUAAAGGGCGUGUAGGCGGAUAAGCAAGUCAGGCGUGAAAACUAUGGGCUUAACCCAUAGCCUGCGUUUGAAACUGUUUAUCUUGAGUAUCGGAGAGGCAGGCGGAAUUCCUCGUGUAGCGGUGAAAUGCGUAGAUAUGAGGAGGAACACCAGUUGCGAAGGCGGCCUGCUGGACGACAACUGACGCUGAGGCGCGAAAGCGUGGGGAGCAAACAGGAUUAGAUACCCU
rnacentral:rRNA from 1 species